rnacentral:rRNA from 1 species
AGCAGCCGCGGUAAUUCCAGCUCCAAUAGCGUAUAUUAAAGUUGUUGCAGUUAAAAAGCUCGUAGUUGAAUUUCGGGAUCAAAUUGUUGGUCGUGCCUCGGUACGUACUGGCAUUAUUGAUUUCUCCCUUCUGAAGAACCACGAUGUCAUUAAUUUGGUGUCGUGGGGAAUCAGGACUGUUACUUUGAAAAAAUUAGAGUGUCUAAAGCAGGCUCACGCUUGAAUACAUUAGCAUGGAAUAAUGAAAUAGGACGUUUGAUUCUAUUUUGUUGGUUUCUAGGAUCGACGUAAUGAUUAAUAGGGAUAGUUGGGGGCAUUAGUAUUCAAUUGUCAGAGGUGAAAUUCUUGGAUUUAUUGAAGACUAACUACUGCGAAAGCAUUUGCCAAGGAUGUUUUCAUUAAUCAAGAACGAAAGUUAGGGGAUCGAAGACGAUCAGAUACCGUCGUAGUCUUAACCAUAAACUAUGCCGACUAGGGAUCGGAUGAUGUUAAUUUUUAAUGACUCAUUCGGCGUAC